rnacentral:lncRNA from 1 species
AUGCGUAGAUGCAGCUCUGGCCCCGCUCAGGCUGCAGGGCAUACGUAUUCUGAAUUACCUGGACGACUGGUUGAUUUUAGCAGAAUCAGAACAGUUGGCGGUUCGGCAUCGAGAUGUCGUCCUCGCUCAUAUGCAAAAGUUGGGUUUGAGGCUCAAUACCAAGAAGAGUGUGCUAUCUCCAUUACAGAGGACCACUUUUCUUGGGGUGGUAUGGGAUUCGGUCACGAUGCGAGCCUCUCUUUCGCCCGCUCGUGUAGCCAACAUCCUCGUAGCCACUUCGGAGCUAAAGCUAGGCCAGUCACGCACUGUAAAACAGUUCGAGAGAUUGUUGGGUCUCAUGGCAGCAGCGUCCAAUGUGAUCCCCUUUGGCCUGCUGGGCAUGAGACCUUUACAGUGGUGGCUCAGGACCAGAGGGUUCUCCCCGAGGGGAAACCCACUUCGUACGAUCAAGAUCACGCGGCGGUGUCUCCGCGCCUUGGUCAUAUGGAGAGAACACUGGUUCCUGUCCCAGGGUCCGGUAUUGGGAGCUCUUUGUCAUCGGGUUACCAUCUCGACAGAUGCUUCCCUUACCGGCUGGGGAGCGGUAAUGGAAGGCCGCUCAGCUCAGGGUCUGUGGGAGAGCCAUCAUCACUCUUGGCACAUCAACUGCCUGGAGAUGAUGGCUGUCUUCAAGCUUUGAGGCACUUCCUGCCAGACCUGAGGGACCAUCAUGUGCUGGUCCGCACAGACAAUACAUCGGUGGUCUCUUACAUCAACCGUCAGGGGGGUCUGCGCUCGCGCCCACUCUGCAAAUUAGCGCACCAGAUCCUCCUGUGGUCUCUGGGGAAAUUACGCUCUCUGAGGGCGAUGUAUAUACCAGGGACUCAGAAUAUUGGAGCAGACACCCUGUCGAGGCAGGUGCUGAGGCCAGGGGAAUGGAGGCUUCACCCGGAGGUGGUGGAGCUCAUAUGGGAAUGUUAUGGCCAAGCAGAAGUGGAUCUGUUCGCUUCUCAGUACACGACGCACUGUCCACUAUGGUUCUCCCUUACUCAUCCAGCCCCCCUGGGGUUGGACGCUAUGGUACAGACGUGGCCGAGGCUACGUCUGUACGCCUUUCCCCCUGUUGCUCUGCUCCCAGGAGUUCUGGAGAGAGUCCGCCAGGACGGAGUAAGUCUACUUCUCGUAGCUCCACACUGGCCGAGUCGAAUCUGGUUUGCGGACCUGAUUCAUCUCCUCGACGGUUCUCCCUUGGAGAUCCCGAUCAGGAAAGACCUUCUAUCUCAGGCCGGGGGCACUAUAUUUCACCCCCGGCCAGAGAUUUGGAAGCUUUGGGUGUGGCCUCUGAGGGAGCGCAACUCAUAG